CCUACGGGUGGCAGCAGUGGGGAAUAUUGCACAAUGGGGGAAACCCUGAUGCAGCGACGCCGCGUGAGUGAAGAAGUAUUUCGGUAUGUAAAGCUCUAUCAGCAGGGAAGAAAAAAGUCGGUAUCUGUCUAAGAAGCACCGGUGAACUCUGCGCCAGAACCAGCGGUAAUAUGCAUGGGGCUAGCGUUAUACGGAUUUAAUGGGUGUAAAGGGAGCGUAGACGGGGCGGCAAGUCUGAAGUGAAAGGCAGGGGCUUAACCCCUGGACUGCUUUGGAAAAUGCGUAGCUAGAGUGUUGGAGAGGUAAGUGGAAUUCCUAGUGUAGCGGUGAAAUGCGUAGAUAUUAGGAGGAACACCAGUGGCGAAGGCGGCUUACUGGACUGUAACUGACGUUGAGGCUCGAAAGCGUGGGGAGCAAACAGGAUUAGAUACCCCUGUAGUC
rnacentral:rRNA from 1 species